rnacentral:rRNA from 1 species
GAUGAACGCUGGCGGCGUGCCUAAUACAUGCAAGUCGAGCGAACGGACGAGAAGCUUGCUUCUCUGAUGUUAGCGGCGGACGGGUGAGUAACACGUGGAUAACCUACCUAUAAGACUGGGAUAACUUCGGGAAACCGGAGCUAAUACCGGAUGAUAUUUUGAACCGCAUGGUUCAAAAGUGAAAGACGGUCUUGCUGUCACUUAUAGAUGGAUCCGCGCUGCAUUAGCUAGUUGGUAAGGUAACGGCUUACCAAGGCAACGAUGCAUAGCCGACCUGAGAGGGUGAUCGGCCACACUGGAACUGAGACACGGUCCAGACUCCUACGGGAGGGAGCAGUAGGGAAUCUUCCGCAAUGGGCGAAAGCCUGACGGAGCAACGCCGCGUGAGUGAUGAAGGUCUUCGGAUCGUAAAACUCUGUUAUUAGGGAAGAACAUAUGUGUAAGUAACUGUGCACAUCUUGACGGUACCUAAUCAGAAAGCCACGGCUAACUACGUG